GGCAUUUCCUAGUCAACUCAUCAUUGCAUAAACUUGGCACAAGAGGCCAGGACACUUUCAUCACAAAGCUAUGCUAUUUAUGCAAAGAAAUGAAAUGGUAAAAGGUCUGCCAAACUUGGAGGAGCAUCUCUCAAGCUGCAAGGCUUGCCUACUUGGCUAGCAAACCAGAUUUCCAUUCAAAAGGUCUACAUGGAGAGCUACAA
rnacentral:misc_RNA from 1 species